rnacentral:rRNA from 1 species
AAAUACUAAAAGACUACCCUGAACAAGCUUGAUCCUGUCUGACCUUGGAAGCUAAGCAGGGUCAGGCUGGUUAGUACUUGGAUGGGAGACCACCUAGGAAGACCAGGUGCUGUAGGCA